rnacentral:lncRNA from 1 species
CCGUUCUUCAAAAACUUGGGCUCUUUCUCCAGUUCUUUACCAGAUCGCCUGUCAAUCUUAGUUAAAAUCUCGGCAAAUUUGACAGCAAUGUGAGAUGUGUGGCAAUCGAGUACAGGUGCAUAACCAUUUCCAAUCUGUCCUGGAUGGUUCAUGAUGAUAACUUGGGACGUGAAAUUGGCAGCUUCCUUGGCAGGAUCAUCCUUGGAAUUUGAGGCAACAUAACCACGCUUGAGAUCCUUCACAGCAACAUUCUUCACGUUGAACCCCACGUUGUCACCAGGGAGAGCUUCUUGGAGAGCUUCGUGGUGCAUCUCCACAGACUUAACUUCAGUAGUCAGUCCAGAUGGAGCAAAGGUUACCACCAUACCAGGCUUUAUAAUGCCAGUUUCAACACGACCCACUGGAACAGUUCCAAUACCUCCAAUCUUGUAGACAUCCUGAAGUGGAAGACGAAGGGGUUUGUCAGAUGGCCUCUUAGGCUCUUGGAUCAGAUCGAGAGCCUCAAGAAGGGUCGGUCCCUUGUACCAGUCGAGGUUGGUGGAUCUUUCAAUCAUGUUGUCACCCUCAAAGCCAGAGAUGGGGACGAAGGGAAUUUUUUCUGGGUUGUAGCCAACCUUCUUGAGGUAGGAAGAAACUUCCUUCACAAUUUCAUCGUACCUAGAUUUCGAGUACUUGGGCGUGGUGGCAUCCAUCUGUCACAUAAAUAGCCAAGUCAGUAAGUAACAAAACACGAAAAAACCAGAAUACUAAAGAAUCAGGAUUGACUAUAAACAUCAUUACCUUGUUACAGCAGCAAAUCAUUUGCUUGACACCAAGGGUAAAGGCAAGAAGGGCGUGUUCACGGGUCUGCCCAUCCUUAGAAAUACCAGCUUCAAAACCUCCAGUAGUGGAGUCGAUAAUAAGAACAGCACAGUCAGCCUGGGAAGUACCAGUAAUCAUGUUCUUGAUGAAAUCACGAUGCCCAGGGGCAUCAAUCACAGUGCAGUAAUACUUGGUGGUCUCGAACUUCCACAGAGCAAUAUCAAUUGUGAUACCACGCUCACGUUCGGCCUUAAGUUUGUCCAACACCCAGGCAUACUUGAACGAUCUCUUGUUCAUCUCAGCAGCUUCCUUCUCAAACCUCUCAAUAACACGCUUGUCAAUACCUCCAAGCUUGUAAAUCAAAUGGCCAGUAGUGGUCGACUUGCCAGAGUCGACAUGACCAAUGACCACAAUGUUGAUGUGAGUCUUUUCCUUACCCAUGCUUGAAUAUUAGGUCAAAGAACUGCGAAACAAGAAAAAGUUCACGAAAAAUAAGAAGAGCAAGAGCAGAUAACCAAAAUAUCAUUACUAAAAUUUGUGAAUAACCCUAAUUUUGUUAGAUUCACACAUCUAAAUAACGUUAAAAUUAAAAUAUCCACCACAAUAUCAACUCUUUUGGCUGGAAAACUUGUUGGUUAUAAAAAAAUGAUCGGAACUAGAACAGAGAAAAUAAAUAAAUAAAAAAAAACGAAAAACGACCAACCCAAUCAGCUAGACUAGAUUAAAAGCAGAUCUACGCGAUUGGCAGAACGACAGGGGACGUCUCGAUAGAUUGAUGAACAGAUACAUAAAACUAGCAUAAAAACAAAAGGGCAGGGACAAGAAGAAGAACAGAAGAAAUUAUAAUUCAUGCUAGGAUCUAGACGAGAAAAACAGUAAAAGCUAAAGAAAUAAGAGAGUAUCAAGCAUAUAGAAGAAAGAAAUCGAGAAAAGGAAGAAGAUAGGGGGAAAGCACAACCUGAGGAGAAAUGCUGCUGUUAAACCCUUGCGGCGAGAGAUGGAGAAUGGCAAUGGGAUUGAAGGGGUUAACAAUAGGGUUUGAGGAUCCUUAUAUAUGCAAUGUCUGAAUUCCUUUGUUGACGAAAAUACCCUUAUCAUAAUUUCAACAUUCCUACACAGUGGCUCUCAACAAUAAAAGAUUUUCGAAUUUACCUACUAGAUUCCAAAUAAAAUAAAGUAACAUUUUAGAAUAUAGUAAAAUUUGUCAAAUUCUAUCAAUGAUAUAAAUGUAUCAACGAUAGACAUGUUACAAAUAUUAGUCUAUCACUAAUAGACCAUACGAAGUCUAUAGUUUUGUUAUAUUUGCAAUUUUUUAAAAAUGUUAAUAUAUUAUUAAUUACUAUUCAUAAAAUGAUCAUCAACUACGAUUUUUAAAAAAAGUUCUUUUUUUCUCAACUUUCCAUUUCAAGUUAAAGGUUUAAAAAAUAUCAUCAAAACUCUUGGAAAGGUUAAAAAACAUGUUUAAAAAAUAUAACUAUUAAAAGUUUCAAAAAUUCCCUUGAAUUUAAAAAAUGUUAAAGGAAAAACUUUCUUAAAAUGUAAUAUGAACUAAAAGUGUAAUAUCUCGCUAAAAAAUAACUUUAAAUUAAAAAUGUCUUUAUCGUUAAUACAUUGAAAAUUUUAUUUGAAUUUGUUAAGUUUGAUUAGAUUGACAAAUAUUUGUUUUAUGGCUUUAGAUAUAAAAAUUGUGACAUUGAUGUUAUUUUUAAAAAAUGGAUGAUCUACCAAAAUGUUGAUUAUCCAAUAUACUUUUCCUACGAGUAGUUGUGUUUUCAAUUUCUCAUGUUGGCAUCUUCCUUUAUGUAGCGUGUAGUUGCUUUGGAGGUUAGGGUUGCUUAUUUGUGAUUUCACUGUGCAUAUUUCAAGGACACUUAGUUCUAAGGUUUGGGUUUUGGCGGUUUAGUUUGUUUUAAUAGCAACAUUUGUAUUGUCUUUAUGUAGUAUUUUCAGCUUGUGUUAGAAGAAGAGAGUGCUACGUGUAUUUGAGGCAUACUCCAUUCUCCCUACUACUGUGCAUUGUGAUGUACUGAGAAGAGAUUAUUUAUGUUUAGGGGAUCUUAAAUAUACCAACGAGAUAUUAACAGUUUCAAAUAAAUUUAUUACUAUACUAACGAUAGAGAUAUUUUUAAUUAUUUAGAGUUAGUUUUUGCAACGAGAUAUUAACAAUUUUAGAUCAUAUACUAAUUGUGAGAGUAAAUUUAAAAGAAUAUAUAAUUUAAGGGUGUUUUUUAAAUUUUUCAAUAAUUGAGGAAUAUUUUUAACAAAACUUUAACCUUCUACAUCCAAAACUAACAUUAAGGGUAUUUUCGAACCCUUUUCGAAAGUUUGAGAGUAUUUUUUAAACUGUUGAAAGUUUAGGGGUAUUUUUUACUCAAAAUACAAAAUUGGGGGGUGUUUUUUUUACAAUUUAGCGUUUUUUUUGUGUUUUUUCUAGGCCAAUAUCAAUUUAUACCUCUGAACUUUAGAUGUUGUAUCAAUUUAAACUUUGAACUUUCUUAUAUGCAUCAAUUUAAACUCUCAACUUUCACAAAUGUGUCCAAGUAAAACAUAAUGGACGAUUUAAAAUGAUUCAUGUUAUAAGUGUAAAGUCUAAAUUGAUACAAUUAAUAGUUUAGGGUCUAUAUUGAUACAAAUUUUAAAGUUGAGAGUUUAAAUUAAUACAAUUAUUAGUUUAAGGUUUAAAGUUCAUUGAUAUAAAUUGAAAUUAGCCCAAUUUUUUUUUAAAAAAAAACUUUAAACUAAUUAAAACUACGAGCCACUACCGUGAAGGCAUAAGUGAACCAAAGUAGGAAAGAUCAAGCCUAAGUUUUUCAAUGACUGACUCAACUUUGAAUCACUCUACUUUGUGGUACAGUCAACUCUUCCCUUUUUUAUUGAGUCAAGUUAAGUCGAAGCAACGAGACCUAGUGUCAUGCCCUACUCCAAAUGACUCUUCAUGCGACCAAGUGGAGGCAUGUCGCCUAGACAAUCAAUGCACAACUUCUGCGAGAUGGUACGCUAAACACCUAGUAAGCGGAACUACUUCUUACAGCACAAGGUUAAGCGCACAAUUUGUACUUUAAUGAAACAAGAGAACUUCAUUGAUAGACAAUUUACAAGAGUACAUUUGAUUCCUAUUACACAAAUCGUUCAAAAGAGGACACAGACUCAACAACGACUUGACUUUUCCCCACUUAGCUUCUACAUGCUACACGAGAUAAUAGUAGCCACUACCAAGACAAUGUGAUUUAGGAGGUACGGUAGACGAUCAAGACAGCAAAUUCUAUGUCAGAUGUCCUUUGCUACCUAAGGGGGAUGAAAUAAACAUUAGAAGGGUUGGGCGAAAAUGUCUAGUGAAUGGAAUCUCUUAACAGAUGUUUUAUGUAAAUUAAUCGUUUUUUUACCAGAUAAUCAGCUCCAGAACAGGUAUUAUAGCAAAAUGUGUCGAAUGUCAUUUAUCUCUUACAACACUACUCCGAAGAAAGAAUUUAUUUAAAACAAUAUAAUAGUGUUAAUAAUAAAAAAGAUCAAGAUUGAGGAUAAACACAUUACCUUCGUCAUUUUAUGAGUUUUGUCCUCCCACGUUAUGCAAACUUGUUGGAAGCUUUGGCAAUAGUUGUGGCUGAAUGUUGAAGCAAUCAUUCAAGUACAAUGCUAUUAAGUUAGUAAGUCGAGGGAGGCUUUGUUUGAGCCUUACAAAAGAAUUCUUGCUAAGGUCAAGAAUUUCCAAUAAGAAAAGACAUUUGAUAUCAUCACGAAUAUCUUCGUCCACAAUAUUGCAAUCACUUAGAUUCAAAUCUCUAAUAGGCAAAACAUCAUUACUCCCAACCAAAUCAUUCAAUGACCACCAAAUAUUUUUUGAAAGCCUUUCACAAUUCAAAGUUUCAAGACUCUUUAAACGAGCGAUAGCAUUUGGUGCUUGAUCUAUAAAUGUUCCUCCAUUGUCAAGCAUGGUAAGAGAUUGUAUUGUCCCCAAAGUGAAAGGAAAUUUGGUGGAGGUUUUUGCAGCCAUUCAAAUUGAGAGUUUGAAGUGAUAUCAAUUUUCAAAUUGAUGUUGGAAGACUUGAUAGCUUAGUACAAUCCCUUAGGUUCAAUUAAGUUAAGUGAGCUAGAAGUCCAAAUGAUGAAGGAAGGUCUUGUAUAAGAGUUCCAUCAAGGUGAAGUUCAGUUAAAGUUUUGGUUGGUUUUUCAAUCUUUGGUAAAGAUUUAAGGCAUAAAUUGGAAAGAAUUAAUGUUUGGAAUCUUUUGCAAGUUACUAGUUUAGAUGGAAAUGUUUUGAGAUUGACACAAUUUGCCAUAUGAACUAAAACAAGAUGGUUGAGAGUAGUAAUGGAAGAAUGAAUCACACACAAUCUUGCACAAUUCCUUGACAUCAACCUUUGGAGAUUUGGAAGCUUGGGUCUCAACCAAAUUCUGUGAUCCACUCACAUCAAACUCUUUCAACCUACUAAAUUCAUGUGGAAAACAAGUCCACACCAUCACAUUAGAUACCACUCUACUUCUCAAAUUCUUACCCAAAAAUAAAAGGAGAGUUGAAAAUUUGGUCAUUUGAAAAAGAGGAAGAAAAAUUCUUGAGAGAGAGUCGACUGAGAAAGUUGUUUAGAGAGAAUCUCUACAAGGAAUUUUUUUUUGAAGCAAAUAUUCCCAAUGUAGGUUUUAUUUAUUCACUUUAUUACUAUAUUUAUUUUUUUUCUUUAUCCUAAACAAUUUAAUCAAUGGAAAAUUUAGUUGAAUAGUGCAUUUGGCUCGGAUUUAUUUCCAAGAAUUCAUACCUCAUACGACAAGUCUUUCGGAUUUGAAUCAUUGUUUUUUUCUCUUUCUAAAGGUUGUGAGAGAAUUUAUUUUCUCUCGCUACUUUUUUGUAUAGUUAUUUCUUUUUCUAAAAAGACAAAUCUUUAGUCUUUUUCUUCUCACUAACAAAAAUAGAGAGAAAGAAAAGUGUUUUGUUUUUUAAUUUUUAACUAUCAUAUAUUUGUUUAAAAUAAUAUUAAAAACAUGACAUUAAUAUAAUUGUGAGAGUAAGAUCAACAAAGUAAAUACAAUAUCAAAUUUGGUCCUAACCUACUAUAAAUUAAUAAAUCCAUAUCCUAAUUUUGGUAGAUAAAAAUAAAUCCUACUCAAAUCUUUUAUAAUGAUUUCAUAUGAGUUAUCUAAUAAAUGCUAAUUACUUCUUCUCUAAUAUUCAAUUUUCUUAUUAUACUUAGACAUUACUAAUGUAAAGUGAGGGUGGUACGUUUCCUUUGACCAAAAUUUGAUAUCAUAUGCAUGUUACAUAUACGUGUGUGCAACAUGUAGAGAGUAGUGAAGGGGUGAACAUAGAUAUUGGGGAGAGAUCUACACAAUCAUGUACCAAAUUUAAAUGAUCCUGGUAAACGAUUGUUUAUAUUCGUAAGGAAAGAGAAAUGACAUGAUACUGGAGAUGACGCCGAAGGUAAGAUAUGACAAAGAAUAAAAAAAUUAUGGAAGAGUCACGAAGAAAUUAUGAAUAAGAAGAUGUGGGAAUAUGGAGAAUGAUUAGGACUAUGAUAUAUGAUACCUAAUAAUAUAAAAAAAAUGUGCAAGCAUAACUCGAAAUUCAAAACUAAUAAAGGUAAAUCUAGAUUUUUUUUGUUACACGGAUCAUAAAUAUUUUUUAGUUUUGUUAUAUAUAUGUGUGUUUAAUUAACCAUUUUUUAUUUAUUCAAUCUAAUUUAAUUUUUGUUUUCAUAUGAUUUUUUUUAUUAAUUCAAAUUUUAUUCUAGUGUUUUUUUUAAUAAUUAUAUAUAUAUAUAUAUAUAUAUAUAUAUAUAUAUAUAUAUGACAACAAAUAUGUGUCAUUUAUAUUGUUCACAAAUGACCUUCUCAUUAACCUCUAUGUGAAAACCUAAAUCACUUAUAUGUGACUCUGCCUUCUAGCCAUCGAUCUAUUUUGCUACUUUGGUGAGUAUUCGAUUAAGUUUUGGUACUUCCAUCAAAUAUCUCAAAUAUCUAUUUUUUUUUAAUUAUCCCAAAAAGUUGAUCUGAUUUUAACCAAAAUUGUAAAUCCCAAAAAGUUGAUUGAUUUUAACCAAAAUUGUUGAUUGAGUUAACUAAGCUAAGACGCAUAACUUGAUUGAUAUGAAUGAUUGAAAUGUUAUGACAAAUGAUAUAUUAAUCACAUGACAACGACGUUCCGAUUGAUAUUUAUGUCAUGUUAUAAUAUGUUACAUGUUAUGGACAAGUGUUCUACUAACUUUAUCUAAUUACAAGUAAUUCCUAAAAAUUUACGGUCUUCAAUUAAUACAAAAUAAAUAAAUUACAACGAUUAAUAUCGAUAAAUUAAAAAUUAAUGAAAACAUAGAUUUUAAAAUUAAAAAAAAGGUUGAAAGAUAGAUUAGUAUUAAAUUAAAAAUGAAAGAAUUUAGUUUUUAAAAAUGAAAAAUAAAAUUCAAAAUGAAUAAAGAUUAAAAAAAAGUAUAAUUUAGUUUUUAAGAAUAAAAUUAAAAUUCACAAAGAUAAAAAGAUUACAUGAAUUUUUAUUAAAAAAGUACAAUUUAGUUUUCAGAAAUGAAAAUUAAGAUUCAAAUAGAAUAAAGAUACAAAAAUUAUAUAAAAAAUAAAGAAAAAAAAGUUGAUUUAGUUUUUUUAAAAAAUCAAAUUGGAAAAAGAAAAUAUAUAUAGAGAGAGGUCCACAAAUUCUUUUAUAAACAAAAAUUAUAGAGUUUGAUAAUCUAAAUAAAUUAGGAACUAAUACACAUUCAAGAAGAUUAUAUUACAAAAAAUAUAUAGUUAAUUUUAAGUUUUAGGUAAAAGUAAUAAAUUGAAUAAAAUUUCAAGUAAAUAUUCAAAUAUUAAAAAUUUAAAUUUUAAAUAUACACGUGCAAUUAAAGACUAGUAAAUAUUCAAAUACUAAACACCCAUAUUUCAUUUGGAUUCAUAAGUAAAGUGUGUAAGAAAAAUUAUGAAGGCAAUGAGAAAGGAAUUGGUAAAUAAUGUGUUGAAACAAAAACGAUAAAUGUAUUAAGCAAUAAAUAAGAACUCAUAACAAGUCGUUUGAAAUAAAACAGCCAUAAAACAUAGAAAUUUCAAAGAUAAAAAUGGAAGACUUGCCACCGCCGAUCAAGCACCCAAUUCUGCGAAAAGCUACUCACCGACCAUGGAGGAAACUUGAAGACAUAACCAACCAGACACACACAACACACAACCCAACAACCACAGAACGUAUUAAUAAGCUUCCAGUCAUCAUGAUGAUUAACAUCAAGCCGUUGGCCGCCAACGGCUACUCGCACCAUUCACUUCCCUGAUUUCUUUGCUGCAGACUUGGUGACCUUGGCGCCGGAUGCAUCCUUCUUCUCAACGGCCUUGAUGACACCAACAGCCACAGUUUGACGCAUGUCCCUCACGGCAAAUCGUCCAAGAGGGGGAUACGCAGAGAAUGUUUCUACCACCAUGGGCUUGGUGGGAAUCAUCUUAACAAAUCCAGCAUCUCCGUUCUUCAAAAACUUGGGCUCUUUCUCCAGUUCUUUACCAGAUCGCCUGUCAAUCUUAGUUAAAAUCUCGGCAAAUUUGACAGCAAUGUGAGAUGUGUGGCAAUCGAGUACAGGUGCAUAACCAUUUCCAAUCUGUCCUGGAUGGUUCAUGAUGAUAACUUGGGACGUGAAAUUGGCAGCUUCCUUGGCAGGAUCAUCCUUGGAAUUUGAGGCAACAUAACCACGCUUGAGAUCCUUCACAGCAACAUUCUUCACGUUGAACCCCACGUUGUCACCAGGGAGAGCUUCUUGGAGAGCUUCGUGGUGCAUCUCCACAGACUUAACUUCAGUAGUCAGUCCAGAUGGAGCAAAGGUUACCACCAUACCAGGCUUUAUAAUGCCAGUUUCAACACGACCCACUGGAACAGUUCCAAUACCUCCAAUCUUGUAGACAUCCUGAAGUGGAAGACGAAGGGGUUUGUCAGAUGGCCUCUUAGGCUCUUGGAUCAGAUCGAGAGCCUCAAGAAGGGUCGGUCCUUGUACCAGUCGAGGUUGGUGGAUCUUUCAAUCAUGUUGUCACCCUCAAAGCCAGAGAUGGGGACGAAGGGAAUUUUUUCUGGGUUGUAGCCAACCUUCUUGAGGUAGGAAGAAACUUCCUUCACAAUUUCAUCGUACCUAGAUUUCGAGUACUUGGGCGUGGUGGCAUCCAUCUGUCACAUAAAUAGCCAAGUCAGUAAGUAACAAAACACGAAAAAACCAGAAUACUAAAGAAUCGGGAUUGACUAUAAACAUUAUCACCUUGUUACAGCAGCAAAUCAUUUGCUUGACACCAAGGGUAAAUGCAAGAAGGGCGUGUUCACGGGUCUGCCCAUCCUUAGAAAUACCAGCUUCAAAACCUCCAGUAGUGGAGUCGAUAAUAAGAACAGCACAGUCAGCCUGGGAAGUACCAGUAAUCAUGUUCUUGAUGAAAUCACGAUGCCCAGGAGCAUCAAUCACAGUGCAGUAAUACUUGGUGGUCUCGAACUUCCACAGAGGAAUAUCAAUUGUGAUACCACGCUCACGUUCGGCCUUCAGUUUGUCCAACACCCAGGCAUACUUGAACGAUCUCUUGUUCAUCUCAGCAGCUUCCUUCUCAAACCUCUCAAUAACACGCUUGUCAAUACCUCCAAGCUUGUAAAUCAAAUGGCCAGUAGUGGUCGACUUGCCAGAGUCGACAUGACCAAUGACCACAAUGUUGAUGUGAGUCUUUUCCUUACCCAUGCUUGAAUAUUAGGUAAAAGAUCUGUGAAACAAGAAAAAGUACGAAAAAUAAAUAAUAAAAAGAGUUGAUAGAAAAUAAGAAAAAGGAAGAUUAAAGAGGCAAAAAAAAAGCUCAUUAUUGAGACUUUCUGAACUUCACAUAUGGUAUUUGUAAAUCUAAAAUACCCACUCUAAUCUAAACCUCUAAACCUCGAUAAUCUAAACCUCUAAACCUCGAUGAUUAUCAAAAAAAAAAUUCUCAGAACUAACAAAUAAAAUAAACUGAAAAACAAAUUAAAAUGAAUCCAAUCCAAUCAGACUAGAUUAAAUGCAGACUAGAUUAAAUGCAGAUCUACAGAAGAUUAUCAACAACAACACUUACGUCGCAAAUAAAAUCGGCCAAUUCAAAACAAAACAAUGACAAAUAUGCAUAAAAGAUAAACAGGAAGAAUAGAAGAAUAAAAGAUAACGAAAAGCUCAUUAAUAAAGAAGUAAUACAAAAUAUAAAACAAAACUAGACUUCAUGAUCUACAAGAGAAGAACAAUAAAACGAAACUAGACUUCAUGAUCUACAAGAGAAGAACAAUAAGAGCUCUAAAAAUCAACAAGAAAAAUGAAGAAAACCUGAGGAGAAAGGUGUGCUGUUAAACCCUUGCGGCGAGAGAUGAGGAAUGAAAACUAGAUUGGAGGGGUUAAUAAUAGGGUUUGAGGAUUGUUAUAUAGUAUGUCUAAACAUGUUUUGUUGACGAAAAUACCCUCAACCAAAUUUCAUAAUUCAGUAGACCUAAACAGUAAAAAGUUGUAUUGAAACAGAAAAAGAUAAACAGUUUAAAAUAUCUCUUCAUUUAUUUGAAAUUAUUAUUUACCAUUACAAAUUUUAUGUUUGUUCACAUCUUCUAAAAAAUUUAGAUAUACAUCUCAAUGUUUAUUUGUUUAUUAUGGUUUAUAAUAAUUUUAUUUGAAAUAAUUAUAAUAGAUAGUAAUUUUAUGAAUAAUAAUUAAAUGUAUAACAAUUAUUUUUAAAAAAUUACAAAUAUAAAAAAGUAUAACAAUUAUUUUUAAAAAAUUACAAAUAUAAAAAAGUAUAUUUAGAGUGAACUUAUUUUAGUCGUAUCAGUUAUAAUAAUAUUGGUUGGGUUGAGAAUGUCUUCCAACCUAACCUAACCUAAUCUGAUUUAACUCCUACUUAUCGUUAACUUUUGGUUUUUCUUUUUAUAGGAUUAUAGUGGAAACCUGAGCUUAUUCUUUACAUAUUCUACAGCUUCUCAUUUUAGUGGAAAAUUUGAAUAAAGAGUUCAUAUCAAAUUAAACAAUUUGUUAAAAUAAUAAAGUUUAAAUAAAUGUGAUUUGAAAUAAAUUUAAUUUAUAGAAAAAAAACUAUAAUUUAAAAUAUAUUUUCUAGGAUGAAAGGUGAUGUUAUAUGGGAGUGAACUAUAUUUUCCAUCUAUAAGUUUUGUUUAUAAUUAGUACAUGGAUGUUAAUAAUUUUUUAUGAAUAUAUAAAUAAAUAUUGAUUUUAAUGAUAAAAAGUCCAUUCUUAUUUAAACAUAUACCUAAAUUUUAUAAUAAUUUUGUUUAGAGUUUUUAUCGAAUAUUAAUUACUUUUAUGAAAAUAAAAUAAUUUUAAUGAAAAAUCUAUUCUUAUUUAUAAUAAUUAUAAAUAUAACAAAAUAUUAAUAUAUUAAUAUGUACCAUCGAUAUAACAAAAUAAAAAAACUUAAGAAGUGGACCAUUUUUUAAAAUCCCAACAGGUUUGCUUUUUCUUUUUAUCUUUUUUCUUCGAUUUUUUUUUAUAUUUUUUGAAAUCAUAAUAUUUGAUCAAAAUAAUUUUUUAUUAUUUUUUUCGAGUGUUACUAGUUUAAGAUUGUGUACCAAAUAAAUGAAAUGUUGGUAUAUUUAGAUUUUGAAAAAUUAUUGUUCAUAUUGGUACAAAAUCUUAGAUUUGAGUAGCGAAAUCUAAGCUAUAUGAUAAUGAAUUUUGAAAAAAAAAUGCAAAUCUAACUAUCAUUGUGUACCAAAUCUAAACAAAUCAUGUACGGAAUAUUUACCAUACAUUCUUUCCAAACUAAAAUUUUAAGGUAAAUAUUAAUAUAAUCUUAAAGAGUUGUAUCAAUUAAAAGACUAAAUUAAUAAUUGUAACAACUUAACUCUUUAAGUUUAGAAAGUAACCAUCCAUUUCAGAUCUUGUUCAACUAAUAUGGUGUGGCAUUAAACUCUUAAAAUUUUAUACGUUGGUAAAUUUAGAUAUUUCUUUUUAAUUAUCUUAAAAUGCCACAUAUAUGUACUACUUUGGAAAGAAUUUUGAAUUAUGAUUAAGUAUUAGGAUAUAUACUCAUGUAUGUGGUUUAUACAUAUAUACUCAUGUAUUAAGAAAAAUGUUUUAUCCUUACUUUGUAUAAAAGUUUGUAAUAAUUAAUAUACAAAUCAAAUGUUGAAAUAUGUUUCCUAAUAUUACGAGUCUAAGGUCGUGUGUGUGAUUUUUUAACAUUUUCGGUUUUUAAUUUUGAAAAACAAUUCAUCUUGAAAAAAAAAUUAUUCAAAAAAUAUAUUUUUGCAACAUUUUCAAAAUUAUUUUAAAUAUUUUUUAUCAAAAGUAUUUAGAAAAUGAAAAUUAGGAUAAAUGAUAAAAACAAUAAAAAUAUUUACAAAAUUUAAUAUUUACUAAAUCUUUACUCGAUAUUUUAUCUCUAUGUCUUGAAAAAUACAUUAAAAUUUAGUCCAUAUAUUUGAUGAGUAGGACUUAGUUUCUAUACUUUUUGAUCAAACUCUCAUAAAUAGUCCUUAAAUUUAUAAUGAUUUUAUUAAAACUUUGGGAAAAGACUUCAUCAAACAUAAAGAUUGGAUUUAAAUUUUCUCUAAAUUAAAGUGUAUAUGACCCAAUCAAUAAUGUAAUUUAGUCUUACUUGACUUUAAAACCAUAAAUUAUGGGUAGAAUUAGAAGUAAACAAUAAUAGCAUAGCAAAUGAAAUCAAACUCAAAGUUAACCCAACAAAAGUUCACUUAUACAAGUACUCAAACCAUCCCCACCAAAUAAUGUAUCCAAUAGAUCACUUAUGAAAAACAUCCCACCAACGAAAAUAAAAAUUGUAUAGCAAUAACCUAUAAGACAACAAGAGAAACAGCAGUCCUUCCCCACCGACGAUCAAGAACCCAAUUCUGUGAAAACUCACUAGGGAAAGGGAGAAAAGUUUUGAAAAGAAAACAGACACAAAACACAACACAUAAUUCAAACCGCACAAUUCACUUACCAGAUUUCUUAGCAGCUGAUUUGGUGACCUUAGCACCACUUGGGUCCUUCUUUUCGACGCUCUUGAUCACACCAACAGCCACAGUUUGCCGCAUGUCUCUGACCGCAAAUCUCCCAAGUGGUGGAUACUCAGAGAACGUUUCCACCACCAUAGGCUUAGUGGGGAUCAUCUUAACGAAUCCAGCAUCACCAUUUUUCAAGAAUUUAGGCUCUUUCUCCAGUUCUUUACCAGAUCUUCUAUCAAUCUUUGUUAGAAUCUCCCCAAACUUGACUGCAAUGUGAGAGGUGUGGCAGUCAAGAACAGGGGCAUAACCAUUUCCAAUCUGUCCUGGAUGGUUCAUGAUGAUAACUUGUGAGGUGAAACUAGCAGCUUCUUUGGCUGGAUCAUCUUUCGAAUUUGAUGCAACAUAGCCACGUUUGAGAUCUUUUACAGCGACAUUCUUCACGUUGAAUCCCACAUUGUCACCAGGGAGAGCUUCUUGGAGAGCUUCAUGGUGCAUUUCAACAGAUUUUACUUCAGUAGUGAGGCCAGUUGGAGCGAAG